UUACAUUUGCCCCGCAAUGGUUCCUGAAGGCCAACACCCGAAGGAUGAAAAGGGAAUGCCGUGCAAUUCGGCAACAGUACCCGCUGCUGUAAGCUCUUUAAACUUUUAUCGAAUACCUUUGCCACUGCCCCGAUACUCGGGGUGGGAAGGCCCGGUAAAAGGGAGUAAGUCAGAAGACCUGCCUGAGCAACACAAUGCCU
rnacentral:ncRNA from 2 species